UGAGGAAUAUUGGACAAUGGGCGCAAGCCUGAUCCAGCCAUGCCGCGUGUGUGAAGAAGGUCUUCGGAUUGUAAAGCACUUUAAGUUGGGAGGAAGGGCAGUUACCUAAUACGUGAUUGUUUUGACGUUACCGACAGAAUAAGCACCGGCUAACUCUGUGCCAGCAGCCGCGGUAAUACAGAGGGUGCAAGCGUUAAUCGGAAUUACUGGGCGUAAAGCGCGCGUAGGUGGUGAGUUAAGUUGGAUGUGAAAUCCCCGGGCUCAACCUGGGAACUGCAUUCAAAACUGACUGACUAGAGUAUGGUAGAGGGUGGUGGAAUUUCCUGUGUAGCGGUGAAAUGCGUAGAUAUAGGAAGGAACACCAGUGGCGAAGGCGACCACCUGGACUGAUACUGACACUGAGGUGCGAAAGCGUGGGGAGCAAACAGGAUUAGAUACCCCUGUAGUCCCUGAGCGGGCUGGCAAGGCGCAU
rnacentral:rRNA from 1 species